CUCAAGAAAGGCAAGACUUGAAACGACACUAGAAAGUGGAACAAAGAUAGGAACAAAUAAAUGACCGAACUUAGAUUUUGCUUUGCAUCUGACCCUUCUGAGCUCUUUUCCUUCAGUCCAACUCCAACUGGACUGGGUGUUGUCAGACAGCAUGAAUCAAGAAAGCACUCUCAAAUGCUGAGAUCUUGCCAGACUCCAGUCUAUCAAGAUACAUCUAUACCAGUAGAGACAACAGCCACUCAUUCUUGACCAGCCAUGGGAAGAUACUGUGCUGGUUUCAGGAACUCACGACACACUGGGACCCAAGACUUGUGAGUGACAGCAUCAAAGACUGAAAUGAAAUGGGCAAAAGUAGCGACUUCAUGAUACUGAUGCAAUCUGUGAUGUUUGCUACCUGUUUCAUAGCCCUGGUUUGGGCAGCAGACUCAAUAUAUACAACAGACAAACCAACAUUAAUGAAGGCAUGAAUACCUUUGAGGAACAAUUAUGUCUUACUCACAAGAAUUGAAUUAAAGGUUAGAAGUUUCUUGUGCAUAUUGAUGUACUCUGAUGCUGGGACAGAUGCUUAAAAGGUAUUUCCAGAAUGAAAGAAACCAGGUACAAUUCUUGGUCAAAUUCACAGAAUUUAAACCUUAUUUUUAAAAUGUAUAGGAGGUUCUCUGGUGGCUCAGUGGUAAAAAGUCCGUCUGCCAGUGCUGGAGACAUGGGUUCCAUCCCUGGUUCAAUCCCAGGAGGAUCCCACAUGCCACAGAACAACUAAAGCCCAUGAACCACAAUUAUUGAGCCUGUGCUCUAGAGCGUGGGGACAGCAACUACCAAGCCCACGUACCGCAAUUACUGAAGCCCGGCCAUCUAGAGCCCGUGCUCCCCAACAAGAGAAGCCACUGCAACUAGAAGCCCGCAAACAGCACCUAGCGAGUGGACCCUGCUUGCUGCAACUAAAAAAAAGGCCCCAACUCCCCACAGAUGAAAAGACCCAGUGCAACCAAAAAUCAAUCAAUAAUUAAAUCAUAUUAAAAAAUUAGUCUGUCUUAUAAAAUAAAAAAAUAAACUGUAUAACA
ensembl:lncRNA